AGAUUUCCUGAGUAGCGGCGAGCNAAAUGGGAAAAGUCCAGCAUUAAGUCCUUUUACUGAUUACUCGGUAGAAUGGAAAUUCAAUGUAAAGGAGUAUCUAUUAUCCUAAAUUUUUAAUUAUAUGUCCAAGUCCAUCUUGAAUGGGGCCAUUUACCCACAGAGGGUGCCAGGCCCGUAGUGACUAUAAUCUUGUUUAGGAAGAUAUCUCUAGAGAGUCGUGUUGCUUGAUAGUGCAGCACUAAGUUGGUGGUAAACUCCAUCUAAGACUAAAUAUGACC
rnacentral:rRNA from 1 species